rnacentral:tRNA from 1 species
GUUUUCAUAGCUUAAUUCAAAGCAUAGCACUGAAAAUGCUAAGAUGGAGAUACCUGAUAACA